CUUGUGCGCAUGCGUGCUGAAGUACUUCCUUUCCAGUCCAGCAAGCAAGACUAAGAGCGAAGAUUUGAAUUGGAAAUCGAACUAUUUCACUGCAAAGAAAACCAUCGACGUCCAUAAAGAUUCAGACAGCCAGGCUCUCAAAGAUUGGUGGAUAUGACUUAAAGAGCUGUUUAAGCACCAUCAUGGACAGGCUCACGACAAAUGAAUUAAU